AGUGAACGCUGGCGGCAGGCUUAACACAUGCAAGUCGAACGGCAGCACAGUAAGAGCUUGCUCUUACGGGUGGCGAGUGGCGGACGGGUGAGGAAUACAUCGGAACCUACUUUUUCGUGGGGGAUAACGUAGGGAAACCUACGCUAAUACCGCAUACGACCUACGGGUGAAAGCAGGGGAUCUUCGGACCUUGCGCGAUUGAAUGAGCCGAUGUCGGUUUAGCUAGUUGGCGGGGUAAAGGCCCACCAAGGCGACGAUCCGUAGCUGGUCUGAGAGGAUGAUCGGCCACACUGGAACUGAGACACGGUCCAGACGCCUACGGGAGGCAGCAGUGGGGAAUAUUGGACAAUGGGCGCAAGCCUGAUCCAGCCAUACCGCGUGGGUGAAGAAGGCCUUCGGGUUGUAAAGCCCUUUUGUUGGGAAAGAAAAGCAGCAGGUUAAUACCCCGCUGUUCUGACGGUACCCAAAGAAUAAGCACCGGCUAACUUCGUG
rnacentral:rRNA from 1 species